rnacentral:rRNA from 1 species
GACGGAGGGUGCGAGCGUUGUCCGGAAUCACUGGGCGUAAAGGGCGCGUAGGUGGCGCGGGCAGUCAACGGUGAAAGCUCGGGGCUCAACCCCGGGUCGGCCGUCGAUACUUCCGGGCUUGAGCACUGUAGAGGCAGAUGGAAUUCCGGGUGUAGCGGUGGAAUGCGUAGAGAUCCGGAAGAACACCGGUGGCGAAGGCGGUCUGCUGGGCAGUUGCUGACGCUGAUGCGCGACAGCGUGGGGAGCAAACAGG